UACGUAGGGGGCAAGCGUUGUCCGGAUUUAUUGGGCGUAAAGAGCGUGUAGGCGGCUUGGUAGGUCUCGCGUCAAAACCUGAGGCUCAACCUCAGUUCGCGUGGGAAACCACCUAGCUAGAGUCCGGAAGAGGAGAACGGAAUUCCUGGUGUAGCGGUGAAAUGCGCAGAUAUCAGGAGGAACACCGGUGGCGAAGGCGGAUCUCUGGGCCAUUACUGACGCUGAGGAGCGAAAGCGUGGGGAGCGAACAGG
rnacentral:rRNA from 1 species